UUUUUUUUUUUCCCCUCCAUUCGAUUAAAGAAUGAGCUCUAGACUGCAAAACCUCGAGAGCUUUUCUGCCCCUGGGCAGGGAGGGAGCCCUUCCCCGCAGCUCCGGGGGUGCUUGGACGAGCCAGGCUGUGUCCAGGUGGAAUUUGGGAGAGCUGGGGCCUCCCUGGUGUCUUUCUUCUAGGCAGACCAAAGAUAAAGGAAUUCUCACUGCUGGAAUUGGGGCUCCUUCCCCAAAGCUUUACUCGAGCCCUGGGGGCACUUUGGAGACUUCAUGUGGCAAGUGGGAACUGCAGGAAUCCGUGGAUUUGUUCACCCUGGAGGUUUGGGGAAGGGGAGGAGGAGGAGGAAUGCGUCGGCCGGAGAGGAGGGGAGCGCUCCCGGAUCCGUUUGCGUUUAUUUCCGUCAGCCUCCGUUGGGAUUUUGCCUUUCCGGGAGGGUUUUUCCUCACCUGGAAUUCUCUGCUCCCCGCCCUGCCUCAGUGUCCCCUCCUGUCCCCUCCCUGCUGCCACCACCCCACGGAGACGCCGCAGGGAGGAGGAACAGCCCCGGCCGGACUCUGGCACAAACUCCUCGGCCAAAAUUGUAAAAUUCCGCGUUUUUGGGAGCCCCGGGAAUGUCGGGAGCAGGUCCUGAGCUGCGGGUGGCACGCAGGGGUGGCAGAGGUGGCAGAGGUUGGGGCAGCAGGAGCUUCGCUGGGGACACAAAAAUGGAACAUUUCGUCCUCCCCCGCCUCCCACCCCACCAGUUUGGAUCCUGCUGGAGCUGGGAGAAAUUCCCAGCCGGGAUCCUCAUCCCGAGGGGCGGCAGGAGCCCAAAUCCCCGGGACGAUUCCAGCCCAAAUCCCCGGAGGAUUCCAGCCCAAAUCCCCGGAGGAUUCCAGCCCAAAUCCCCGGAGGAUUCCAGCCCAAAUCCCCAGAGGAUUCCAGCCCAAAUCCCCGGGACGAUUCCAGCCCAAAUCCCUGGAGGAUUCCAGCCCAAAUCCCUGGAGGAUUCCAGCCCAAAGCCCUGGGAGGAUUCCAGCCCAAAUCCCUGGGACGAUUCCAGCCCAAAUCCCUGGAGGAUUCCAGCCCAAAUCCCCGGAGGAUUCCAGCCCAAAUCCCCCGGACGAUUCCAGCCCAAAUCCCCCAGAGGAUUCCAGCCCAAAUCCCCCGGGAUUGCAGCAGCAGGAACGGGGAAUGGGGAAUUUCUGAGGUGAAAAGUGGGGAAUUUCCUUGGUGAGAAAUGGGAAUUUCUGAGGUGGAAUGGGGAAUUUCCAUGCUGGGAAACGGGGAAUUUUCCCCAAAAUCUCGGGAAUUGUUUCCCCUUGCUCCACGCCGGGGCUGGUUUGGAUUUAACCCUUGAGGGGAGGCGGAGCUGCCACUCCCGCAGGGAUCGGUGCCACCUCCUCGCUGUCACCUUUGUCACCCCCGGGGCGGGGCUGGGCAGCUUUUCCAGCUUUUCCAGCUUUUCCAGCUUUUCCAGGAAUGGGAAUUGCCCGUCCCUUCCCGGUGACAAUCCUCCAGCGCUGCCCUGGGCAGAGGCGUUUUAGGAAGGGAUUUUUGGAGACUGGAAUGGAGCUGAGAA
rnacentral:lncRNA from 1 species